UUAGUGGAGUAUUUGAAGCUUUGUAUACCCUGUACCGUGGAGAAUGAUCUGCUCUCAAUGCACAAUCUAGACUGACCUUCGAAUUUUUAUAUAAUUUAGUAGAUCAACUCAGAGAGCUAGGUGUGAGGAUUCCACUAUAUCUGAAGGAUGUGGAAGUCGAUAUUCAGGAGGCAGAAGUUUCUGCAAAUGGUUUGGCCAAUUGAA
rnacentral:misc_RNA from 1 species